CCUCCCCAUCCCCUCGCCUCCCGCCUCCACGCAAUGACCUGUUCCCGGCCCUCUCAGUUCCGCGCGGCCCCUUCGAGGUGGGGCCUGGGCACAGGAACGACAGGCGUUGCAGCCAAUGGCGUCCCGCACGGUAAACCUGCUACCCAAUCACAAGGCGCGGCUGCGAGGGAACGGAGUGGGAACCACGCCCGGCUCCAGGAGCUUCUUCAAAUUGGCAGAGCUCUUUGAACAGUUAAAGAGCUCAUGGACUUCAGAUCCCAUGUAUCUUCCUUCCGCGAGAACCUCACUGAGCUGGCCGAGCUGGAGCUCAAACAUGCCAAAGGCCAGCACCCUGCUUCUGCAGAGCACCCCAGUUAUCCUCAAGGGGGAGCCUUAGAGCUUCCAAAAGCCCCCAGAUCUCCUACUCCAGACAGGUGCCUUCCAGCCCUAGGAGCCACUUGCCAUGCCCCUUCUCAGGGCAACCCCCACCCCUGCCCCAAGGUGCCAGGCCCUGCCAGAGGGAGAGCGAGCAGCAUGGACACCACUCUUGGCCAGAGGUAAGCAGAGCCCCAACCUGGGGAAGCCCAGGGAACAUGACCUCCCCUCCGCAGAGGCAGACAGCCUCCACCCACG
rnacentral:lncRNA from 1 species